GAUGAACGCUGGCGGCGUGCCUAAUACAUGCAGGUCGAGCGAACGGACGAGAAGCUUGCUUCUCUGAUGUUAUCGGCGGACGGGUGAGUAACACGUGGAUAACCUACCUAUAAGACUGGGAUAACUUCGGGAAACCGGAGCUAAUACCGGAUAAUAUUUUGAACCGCAUGGUUCAAAAGUGAAAGACGGUCUUGCUGUCACUUAUAGAUGGAUCCGCGCUGCAUUAGCUAGUUGGUAAGGUAACGGCUUACCAAGGCAACGAUGCAUAGCCGACCUGAGAGGGUGAUCGGCCACACUGGAACUGAGACACGGUCCAGACUCCUACGGGAGGCAGCAGUAGGGAAUCUUCCGCAAUGGGCGAAAGCCUGACGGAGCAACGCCGCGUGAGUGAUGAAGGUCUUCGGAUCGUAAAACUCUGUUAUUAGGGAAGAACAUAUGUGUAAGUAACUGUGCACAUCUUGACGGUACCUAAUCAGAAAGCCACGGCUAACUACGUG
rnacentral:rRNA from 1 species